rnacentral:tRNA from 31 species
GCGGGAGUAGCUCAGUGGUAGAGCGUCAGCCUUCCAAGCUGAGGGUCGCGGGUUCGAAUCCCGUUUCCCGCUCCA